UAACCUGCCCAAGAGAUCGGGAUAACACCUGGAAACAGAUGCUAAUACCGGAUAACAACAGAUGAUGCCUAUCAACUGUUUAAAAGAUGGUUCUGCUAUCACUCUUGGAUGGACCUGCGGUGCAUUAGCUAGUUGGUAGGGUAACGGCCUACCAAGGCGAUGAUGCAUAGCCGAGUUGAGAGACUGAUCGGCUACAUUGGGACUGAGACACGGCCCAAACUCCUACGGGAGGCAGCAGCC
rnacentral:rRNA from 1 species